CGAGGAUUCAGCAGCCUCCCCCUUGAGCCCCCUCGCUUCCCGACGUUCCGUUCCCCCCUGCCCGCCUUCUCCCGCCACCGCCGCCGCCGCCUUCCGCAGGCCGUUUCCACCGAGGAAAAGGAAUCGUAUCGUAUGUCCGCUAUCCAGAACCUCCACUCUUUCGACCCCUUUGCUGAUGCAAGUAAGGGUGAUGACCUGCUUCCUGCUGGCACUGAGGAUUAUAUCCAUAUAAGAAUUCAACAGAGAAACGGCAGGAAGACCCUUACUACUGUCCAAGGGAUCGCUGAUGAUUACGAUAAAAAGAAACUAGUGAAGGCAAGUUUGCCUGCAAUGGUACUGUAAUUGAGCAUCCGGAAUAUGGAGAAGUAAUUCAGCUACAGGGUGACCAACGCAAGAACAUAUGCCAGUUCCUCGUAGAGAUUGGACUGGCUAAGGACGAUCAGCUGAAGGUUCAUGGGUUUUAAGUGCUUGUGGCUCACUGAAGCUUAAGUGAGGAUUUCCUUGCAAUGAGUAGAAUUUCCCUUCUCUCCCUUGUCACAGGUUUAAAAACCUCACAGCUUGUAUAAUGUAACCAUUUGGGGUCCGCUUUUAACUUGGACUAGUGUAACUCCUUCAUGCAAUAAACUGAAAAGAGCC
rnacentral:lncRNA from 1 species